CGGAUGUUGGCUUGCGUGAGCCACCAUUCGCUGCGCUGUACGUCGUAACUGAAUGUGACCCAGAGAAGAGCAGAGCAGAGCAGCAGCAGCUAAACGAAAUCAAAAAAAUGAGUGAAAACACCGAGUAAAACCAGCGUUUGACUCGUCGCUUCGUCGCAUUGGGUUGUUAGAACUGUGAGAAACAUCAUUACUGAAUAAGUCUGGAUGAUAAAACGGCUUUAAAGUCGUGUUCAUCGAACAGGAGUGAGACUGGACGCUGAGCACACCUGUGGCACAAGGUGUUUACUUGUUGAGCUGCUGCAGCCUGGAGGGAAACACCAGCUCUCACCUCACAGACCAAACAGGACUCAGAGUUGAAGCAGGAAACAGUUGGAGUGACAGAGAGAAGAGACGGACAUGAAGAUUUCCACAAGGUGUCACCACUUCAUCCAUGAGUCCAGAGACCAGGACCAGAUCCAGCACCAAGUCCUUCAGGUGAACUCACAGAAACCACUGGAUCCACUCGAGGUGAAGGAGGAGGAGAUGAAGAUGAAGAUGAUGUCAUCAGGCGUGAAGAGGUGGAGCUGAUGAAAGAAAACAACAGAGUGAUGAAGCUGUUGAUUAAAGACACUGACAGAAAAACCUCCAGCCUGUUGAUGGAAACACAACAAAC